rnacentral:snRNA from 1 species
CCAUUCACCUACUUAUCUCAUU